rnacentral:lncRNA from 1 species
UAAUGUAAAAACAAGACCUUGAUCAUCUUUGGCCAGACCUGUGAUCCUAAGUCGCUCUACCAAUUGUCUCGUCCUUAGUUCAUUUGCUGUUUUUUGUUGCAGGAUGAAUUAUACAUUGUUCAUUGUGAGGAGAACUAGUCCAGAAAUUGGAACCUGAGGCCUGGCAGAAUCCAGGAACAAAGGCAACCCUCCAACCUCUACUUUCCAAGUGGGAACCAGAUAUCCAAAUAUGGCCUUCACUUGAAGGUCCGGGAGAACGGGUGAGGUGCCUGAAGACUGAAGGAAAGCCAGUGUCAUUCUGGUCUUCAAAAAGGGCAGGAAGGAGAAUCUGGGAAGUGACAGUCUCCCAGCUCAGAGCCAACCACCUAUUAGUCUGGUGCAACGGAUUUGUGUGUUCCUUGCACUAGCUGUUCGCUCACCUCCUCUUCACGUACAAGGACACACGUCUCUUUCACGCUCCUUCAGGAGUAAACAAGCCAGGAGAGAUUAAAGCCUUUUUCUCCAGGUCAGUAAGAUCCCUGCCUUUGGUUUCGUUGAGAAUUCAGGCCCUAACAACUCAAGUGUCUUCUGGACGGUGUUUCUUCUGGGUAGGAUAAUUUCAUUUCCCUUUUGAAGACUUACAGGGAUGCAGUAACAAAAGCAAAGGCAUAAAAUGGUACCUGAGGCACAGGCUACUUUUC